AUGUAAUUAGAGUAUCCACGCAUCCCAUUUGCUUCUCUCCCAACUCACCAUAGCAGAUUACAUCCAGACCAGGUUACCGGCCACCGGGCUACCGACCUUCUUCCAUCUUCGUCUCCGCAUAUUUGCUUCAAUUUCAAACCAGGUUAACUUAUGUGCCAGUGUAGGGUUCUUACAAAUGCGGACUGAAAAGAUACCCUCUUUAGAGCUGGGAUCACCAAGAAGCAGAAUCGAAGUUCAUGUGGAAUAGCACAAGAUAUUUUACUAAAAAACCUAACACAAAAGAUGUAUCAGUCAACAUCAGCAAGUUAAUAGCAAGAUGGCAUGUGUUGGCAGGUAUUAUAGUGUUAAUGCCAUUAUCAAUGAAGCAACAAAACCCACUGAGGUAACUUUCUUCAGUGAAGGCAUGGUAGUCCUCUGCCCUCCUCAAGACAAGCUGCGAAGACUUUAUAACAAAGCACGGUUGCACCAAUCCUAAAACGCUCCCACAACAAAUGGCGUCAAUGAUAGGCGAGGUAAGGCCGAUGCACGUCUCGACAAGGAAGGAAGGGCAUGUGGUAGUAACAAACGUGACAAAAGCUGAGACAGUAAGCGAAUACUAUCCAACCUCUCAAGAACAUAGCGUCUUGGCAAUCCCUCCCACAACACCUAACCCGAAAAUCAACCAGAAAAAAACGUCUGCCAGUUGGGUCACCAGAGUCAAGCCGCGUUGCAAAGAAGGCACAUGAAGAAGAAUGAUCGCUUAGAAGACUGCUUUUUUGGAUGGCUGCACCCUGGAACACUGUGUAGCCCGCAUCACCUACAUCCAUAAUCUUACAAAAACGCACAUAGGAAACACCUUAUGUGCAAGUUAUCUACCUAACACACUUGGUGUUAGUAAGAUAAGUUGUAAACAAAUCAAUACAAAAACAUUUUGUAGGUAGACUAGGCGAGGUAAAUAAAACAAAAAAAGUUCAUUUAA
rnacentral:lncRNA from 1 species